UAGCGUCAUCGUUGGCAUCCAAAACGAAAGUGCCGCCAUUUUAGAAGGCCGUGGCGUUAUUUGGUCACGCUUUUUUGUCCACGAGAACGCUAAGUUUUUAAUCAAAACCUCGUUAAAUACGCGUUUUUAACCGAAAGUAAACCAAUUGUAACCUGUUCACUUAGAAUUCGGAGUGCGCGCCCGAAAAAUGAGUUACGGAAGACCCCCGCCGCGGAUUGACGGCAUGGUAUCGCUAAAAGUGGAUAAUUUAACUUAUAGAACGACCCCGGAGGAUUUAAGACGUGUUUUUGAACGCUGUGGGGAAGUUGGGGAUAUCUAUAUACCCAGGGAUCGAUUUACGAGGGAAAGUCGCGGGUUUGCUUUUGUCAGAUUUUAUGAUAAACGCGAUGCUGAAGAUGCAUUGGACGCUAUGGAUGGGCGUAUGUUGGAUGGAAGGGAGUUGAGGGUUCAAAUGGCUCGAUACGGGAGACCCACUUCGCCACAUCGAAGGUAUAGCCGAUCUAAUCGAAGGAGAUCUCGUUCGCGUUCAAGGAGACGUAGCCGAUCUCGUUCAUAUCGCAGAAGAUCGCCGAGUCGGAGUCGUUCCCGAUCUGAUAGUAAAAGCUCGAGGGGUCGAUCCAGGUCAAGGUCUAAAUCUGAGAAGAGAUCUGACAGCAAGUCACGAUCUAGAUCAAAAUCGUAGCUAAAAUAAGUGCAGUCCAUUUUUUCGAGGGUCUACCCACGGUUUAUCAAUCAAUAAAAUCGCUAAGGCGCAGUGCCUGGGUUGGCGUUGCGGUGCGCUGAGCGAGAGCAAGCAGUCUCGAGUAGCUGUGACGUGUGUAGCUGCCGUUGUUGCGGUGCUGUUUGCGGGUCGCAGAGAGUAAGGCCGGUUGGUAGAGAGAGAGCGGUUUUUGGUGCAGUUUGCGGUUCAGCUGCGGCAUGAUCCGGGUGGUUUCGAUCGGCUUAAAGGCCCCGUUUGUCUCUCUUAUAUCGAGGGAUGAUAAUCGGAGCUUCCGAUUAAAUCAUUUCUUCCGGUA